CGCCGGCGGCGGGAGGCCGUAGUGCGCAGGCGCCGGCGCCUGUAGGCCUCGCUCCUUGAGCGCGGGUCGGGCGUCGCCCAGCCGGGGCGUCGACCCCGAUGCGGCCCAACAUGCUGCACACGGCCAAGUUAUUAAACAGCGUCAUCUCUGUUGCCGAAUUGUACUUCCCAAGCGAUCUCAGUCUCUUUGUAGAUGGGUCUUGCCUCAAGGAUAGCAAAGCAUCCCUCGUUGCAGGAUAUGCCAUCUGCUCUUUACACAAAGUUCUUGAAAGUAGAUCUUUUAUUGCAUAGAAGGAGGCAAUGGUAAACCACUUCCAGAUUUUUACCAAGAAAACUCUCUGGAUCCACUACCAGAAUGAUUGCAGAUGGAAAACAUGGAGUCCUGGGAGAGAUGUGUCCAUGGCAUCGCUAUGGGUCAGAGACGACUCAACAGCAAAAAAGAAGACAAUUCACACUGAGCAGGCUGUGGACGUUGAGGAGAAGAUAUCAAAUUGUCCUGGAGAGCAGGGGCCACAUUCCCAUCAGGGAUGGGCGGGGGGAAGGCGGGUGGCCAGGGAACAGCAGGGUGUUGUACACAGUUCCUGAUCUGGGAAUGGAGGAAGUGCAGAGAACACUGCUUGCAGAAUAAAGUCUUAUUCCUGUGGCUGCUUAAUAAACAUUUUACUCCUAC